GCUGCAGCCGCCGGCCCGAAAAUGCUGCUCGGGCGAUCAGGGGUCAGGCGGGAAAAGAAGACUCCAAAUCCACUCUCUGCUCGCCCCCAGGGCAAUGCUGCGAGGAGAGGGAGUGGGUUCCCCCGCAGGCUAUCCCACGGAUGGGGCUGAGACCUUAAUUUGGGGUUUUAUUUGGAGACAUUGGUCCCUCUUCGCUCCUCUACCCCAUAAAAUUCCCUACAAAUGCAAAAAUUCGAGAUAGAAGAAGCCGUCCCUGAAAGUAAGUUCUGAAGGAUUCCUUUCAUGCGGUGAAGGAACAUCAAUAUUCAGCUUCAACUUGUUGCUGUCUAACAUUCACCGGAAACCUCUCCAUAGACAAGGAGAAACGAACGCACAUGCAUUUUUUGCUAAGAAGCCCGGGAUUAAGAUGAAGGAUAGAAGCUGAAAGAAAAAAUGAAAAAUGUUUCUCCGCCCGUCAAUCGGGGGGUGGAUGCGCCACGCAGCGUGAGCCCAGCUUACAGCCACGCGUAAAACCAAGAGCAGCCCUGGGUCCUGCGCGCGGAGACCUCAGAGCCGAAGAGAGAAGUCCCCGCGACAGAAACGCUGCGGAUGCCAGGUCUUCAAAAUGCUAACUUCUGAGGCUAAGAAUUAUUUUAAAGACAAAAAGAAAAGACUGGUGAGGAGGCCUUCCGGUGCGGAGGCGCCUCUCCGCUAAUUUUGGAUGGGGAAAUGGGGAUUAUUCGUUUAAAUUCAGUUGCCAGCACCAAGUCGGACUGGCCGGGGAUGGAGAACAGCAACCCCCACCUUUAGAAAAAUAAAAAAUCUUCGAAGGCC